rnacentral:lncRNA from 1 species
GGCUCACCGUUUCGUGCGCGAUUUACCGGUCCUCAUGUUGUUGUCCGUCAAGUGGCAGAGCUUGAUUAUUUGAUUGCCACACCAAAACGGAGAAAAGCAACUCAGCUUUGUCAUGUCAAUUUAUUAAAACGGUAUUACACUCAGUCCUCCAGGGCUGACGUGUCUGGUGAAAAGGUUGAUGCUGUUGUUCUAGCUGUUGCCGGUGGCGUGGUUUCAGACUCUCCUCCGGUGGCAGAGGAGGUGGAGGAUGAAGGCGGCCCCGAUGACAGUAUUUUGUUACCACGGUUAAAAAAUUCUGAGAUGCUUCAAAAUCUGAAUGGCCUAGUAAGUCAUAUGCCUGAUAGCCAGAGGGAUGUGUUAAAGUCUUUGAUUUUUUCCUUUUCUUCUUUGUUCUCCGAUACUCCGACAUGUACGAAUCUGAUUGAGCACGAUAUUGAUGUGGGAGACGCUGCGCCCAUUAAACAACGGUUUUAUCGUGUUCCGUUAGUCAAGCAAAAAAUCCUGGAGGGUGAGGUCCAGUACUUGCUGGACAAUGGCCUGGCUAAACCAUCUUAUUCGAGCUGGGGUUCACCAUGCUUGUUGGUGGCUAAACCAGACUCGACAUUCAGAUUUUGCACCGAUUACCGCAAAGUAAACCAAGUGACUAAGGCCGACUCUUUCCCGCUGCCUCGAAUAGAGGAUUGUGUGGACCGCGUGGGGUCUGCUAGAUUUGUCACAAAGUGCGACCUUCUAAAAGGUUACUAUCAAAUACCGUUAACGCCGCGGGCGCAAGAGAUAGCUGCCUUUGUUACACCAUCAGGUCUCUACUCCUAUAAUGUCAUGUCAUUUGGUUUAAGAAAUGCCCCUUCCAGCUUUCAGAGGCUUAUGAAUCAUGUAAUAUCUGGCCUUGAGGGUUGCGCUGUGUACCUAGACGAUGUUGUUAUUUAUAGUGAUACGUGGGAGUGUCACUUGUUGCGUCUGUCUGCUUUGUUCGAAAGGUUUGCCAAAGCCAAUUUGACAGUAAAUUUGGCAAAGUGCGAAUUUGCGCGGGCCACAGUGGUCUAUUUGGGGAAGGUAGUCGGGCAGGGAGAAGUGCGGCCGGUACGAGCCAAAGUGACGGCCAUUGAUGGUUUUCCUCGUCCUUC